GACGAACGCUGGCGGCGUGCUUAACACAUGCAAGUCGAACGGAAAGGCCCUGCUUUUGUGGGGUGCUCGAGUGGCGAACGGGUGAGUAACACGUGAGUAACCUGCCCUUGACUUUGGGAUAACUUCAGGAAACUGGGGCUAAUACCGGAUAGGAGCUCCUGCUGCAUGGUGGGGGUUGGAAAGUUUCGGCGGUUGGGGAUGGACUCGCGGCUUAUCAGCUUGUUGGUGGGGUAGUGGCUUACCAAGGCUUUGACGGGUAGCCGGCCUGAGAGGGUGACCGGCCACCUUGGGCCUGAGGUACGGCCCAGACUCCUACGGGAGGCAGCAGUGGGGAAUAUUGCGCAAUGGGCGGAAGCCUGAUGCGGCAACGCCGCGUGCGGGAUGACGGCCUUCGGGUUGUAAACCGCUUUCGCCUGUGACGAAGCGUGAGUGACGGUAAUGGGUAAAGAAGCACCGGCUAACUACGUG
rnacentral:rRNA from 1 species